rnacentral:lncRNA from 1 species
AACAACCCAAAAGAACAAUGUUCAGAGAGCUUCCAGGUUGGAGAAGACAUGGAGGUGUGGGGACAUUGGCACACCUGGAGAGGACAUGGAAGUUCCAAAACGCUUCCCUCAUACCUUGCCUCACACAUCUCUUCCAUCUGGCUGUUUCUGAAUUAUAUCCUUUUAUAAUAAACUGGUAAUCUGAAUCCACUAUCCUCCAUGGAGACAGACACCAUCAAGGACAAGCACCUGGACUAUCUCCUCCCGCAAAGAGAUACAGGCUGGUGGGAAAGCUGCUGACCAGCAAGGUGAUGAGCUCCCUCCUCUCUGCAAGUGUCUCAAGGCCAAAGACAGGCUGGUGGGAAAGCUCCAACCAGCAAGGCCAUAUGCUCCCCCUCCCCUACCUAAAACCCCAAAUAAAAACCCUUCCUUUUAGAUUUUCGGGGAGUUUGGGAUUUGAGCGUUAGCUGCCCUCUCUCCUUGCUCAGUGCUGUGCAAAAAUAAAAUUCCUACUUUCUUCCACCACACCCGGAGUCAGAGAUUGGCUUGCUGCGCAACAGCAUGUUGGAGGUUUGGAACACCAAACAGCUAAGUUUUCAUGGCAAGAAGAAAGUGUGCAGCAUGGGACAGUUGUCUGAGAAGGCUGGCUCAGACUAGGUGUCUAGGAAGGGAGUCCUGACUGGGUGAUCAGUAGUCAGCAUACAGAUGUCG